GGGCAUACUUUUUGUGUGUUCAUCUUUGUUGAUCGUAGAUUCCAGCAGAUGGUCGACUAGCUGCAGUUUUUGUGGUUGGGUUUUCACUAGCAGAUGAUGGUGAAAGCGAUGAACAAUUAGUCUUAGUCAGCCAAAGUGGAACCAUAAACAGAAUAAAGGUUCGAGAUAUAUCUAUUCAAUCUCGGGUGGCAAGGGGAGUUAUUUUGAUGCGGUUAGAGCAUGCUGGAAAAAUCCAAUCUGCUUCCUUGAUUUCUGCAAUGGAAGAUGAAGUGCUGGCUGAAGAUCAAGUAUGACGUAUGUUUUGGUCAGAAUUGUGUUGCAUUAAAAUGCAAGUAGACCGUGAAAGCUUAUCAGGUAACAGAAGCUCGAUAGUGAAGUUUGAAGGCACGUUGCAUGAUCUCGCAGAAGACAGGUUUCAUAUGCUUCAUAUAACGGUCUCUAAUUUAUCUGCAGCUGUAAAGGGGUGGGCUUUUACAGCGAUUUUGAUCAUCAACCGUCACAAUCUUGUACACCAUGUAAAAUGACGUGUAAGUUCAUUUUAUCCAGAUCUAUAGUUUAGUCUAUUCCAUUGUUCCCCAAUAUAUUAAAGGAUGUCACUAAACUGCCUAACUAGCGUUGAUCCUAUUAGCUUUGGUACGUCAGCUAAGAGAGGAGUACUAAGAUGAGCUGUAUGAUGGUUCUACAGCCAAGGAAUGAGUCCCAAGUCAAUAUUUAAGUAAUUUGAAUCCCCAUCAAAUAAUUUGAUUAUA